CCCUAGAGAUAGGGCUUCUCCUUCGGGAGCAGAGUGACAGGUGGUGCAUGGUUGUCGUCAGCUCGUGUCGUGAGAUGUUGGGUUAAGUCCCGCAACGAGCGCAACCCUUGAUCUUAGUUGCCAUCAUUAAGUUGGGCACUCUAAGGUGACUGCCGGUGACAAACCGGAGGAAGGUGGGGAUGACGUCAAAUCAUCAUGCCCCUUAUGACCUGGGCUACACACGUGCUACAAUGGACGGUACAAAGAGCUGCAAGACCGCGAGGUGGAGCUAAUCUCAUAAAACCGUUCUCAGUUCGGAUUGUAGGCUGCAACUCGCCUACAUGAAGCUGGAAUCGCUAGUAAUCGCGGAUCAGCAUGCCGCGGUGAAUACGUUCCCGGGCCCUUUUGUUAACCAA
rnacentral:rRNA from 1 species